rnacentral:tRNA from 1 species
UGGGAUGUCGUCUAAUGGUAGGACAGCAGACUCUGGAUCUGUAUGUGGGGGUUCGACUCCUCCCAUCCCAACCA